ACUUUUUAUUUUAAAAAAUAAAUAAAAUGUUUUUAAAUAAAAACUAUCUCGUGGCCACGAGAAAGUUUCUCGUGCGCACGAGAAAGCAUUGGAUGCGUGCACGUGGUUUGAGGUGUGUUUUAAAAUGGCAGUUUAGGAGUUUAUGCGGCUCUAUUUCCAACAAAGACGUUCCCUCGCCCAUAAUCUCCCGUCGCUCAGCAGUUUUGAUACCUGUUAUUAAACAGAGAUGGCUGCAGUAGAUUUAUUCAUGUUCCUUCAAAUGCGGAAUAUACCUGAAAGUGUCAUCAACAAACUAAAAGAAGACAAGAUCGACACCAAUGUCAUAGGCAUUAUGACAGAUAAGGAGUUAAGCAAUUAUAUCGAAAGAUAUGGGGAUCGACUUGCGCUCAGAGCAUUUUGCCGUCAAAGAACUGUGACAAACGAAGAGCCGAGACAGUGAAGUCCUCCCUCAUGCAGAAAUUAAGAGACAGGUUAAGAACUCCUAAUACUGUACAAGGCACCGCUACUGGCCAAAAAAAGGCAGCCAAAAUCACCCGGCGGGUUGAAAUGGGAUGGCUCCACUUUGAGAGUGGAAUGUAUCACCAGGUUAGAACGAGAAAAGGAGGAGGAACACGGAAUCUGUCGGUCCAGAAAUCAGUGACUAUGGGUGAACUGUUGGAGACAGGCAAAUGCUUGUUUUUUUGCAAAUGGGCAUUCAUCAAAAGGACUGAUAGAAGACUUCGAGUUUGACAUUUGUGAUUACAGUCACAGUCCUGUGCCCCGUGAAGUCACGGUGGGCCAGCUGUACGAACAGACUAAACUAAAAAUGCUACGCGUCUACACAGCCACCAAGUCUAACAACAUUCUACUUCUCUCUGAUGAAUCAUCGGACAUGGAGCCAACACAGAAAACGCCGCUGAAAGCUAGGUCUAGGACAAUGAAGACACGAUCCUUGAGGAACAAGACCAGGA